AACAGAAAAAAAAAAAAGAAAAAGAAAAUUGCGUUCUCUCUCUCCAUCUCCGUCUCUGUCCUCCGAACGUAUCUUCAGUGGAAAUACUCCCACCAAGGAGAAGCGGACGGCAAUGGCGGCAGAGUGUGGAGGUUCCGGAUGCGGCUCUGGAGGCUUCUCCGGCGGAAUUUUGUUUUAUUCCUGCGGAUUCACGCUGCUUGGAUAUGACGGACAGUGAAACACCACCACGAACCUAUAUUUUCAGCCCUGAAGGAUUGCUAAGACAGUCUUCCUUGUUAUUGCUAGAUACACAAUGUCUCAUAGAAGAGGACUAGAUAUUUGAAUGGAAGAAAUACGAGUGGAAGAUUUGAUGAGAUGGGUCUGCAGCAAAUACAUGCCAACUGCUUCCAACCCAACCCAAUGGUGAUUCUGUAAGACACUCGGAAUUAUAGCAGAGGAUGAGGGGGGGGGGGGGGGGGCAG